AGCAGUAGCCGCGGUAAUACGUAGGUGGCAAGCGUUGUCCGGAAUUAUUGGGCGUAAAGGGCUCGCAGGCGGUUUCUUAAGUCUGAUGUGAAAGCCCCCGGCUCAACCGGGGAGGGUCAUUGGAAACUGGGAAACUUGAGUGCAGAAGAGGAGAGUGGAAUUCCACGUGUAGCGGUGAAAUGCGUAGAGAUGUGGAGGAACACCAGUGGCGAAGGCGACUCUCUGGUCUGUAACUGACGCUGAGGAGCGAAAGCGUGGGGAGCGAACAGGAUUAGAUACCCGCGUAGUCCCUGUCUCUUAUAC
rnacentral:rRNA from 1 species